CCUACGUGUGGCAGCAGUGAGGAAUAUUGGUCAAUGGGCGCGAGCCUGAACCAGCCAAGUCGCGUGAGGGAAGACGGUCCUAUGGAUUGUAAACCUCUUUUGUCGGGGAGCAAAAGACGCCACGCGUGGCGUUCCGAGAGUACCCGAAGAAAAAGCAUCGGCUAACUCCGUGCCAGCAGCCGCGGUAAUACGGAGGAUGAGAGCCUUAUCCGGAUUUAUUGGGUUUAAAGGGUGCGCAGGCGGAAGAUCAAGUCAGCGGUAAAAUUGAGAGGCUCAACCUCUUCGAGCCGUUGAAACUGGUUUUCUUGAGUGAGUGAGAAGUAUGCGGAAUUCGUGGUGUAGCGGGGAAAUGCUUAGAUAUCACGAAGAACCCCGAUGGCGAAGGCAGCUUACUAAACUGUGACUGACAUUGAGGCUCGAAAGUGUGGGUAUCAAACAGGAUUAGAUACCCUUGUAGUC
rnacentral:rRNA from 1 species